CCCGUGUGUUUCCUGACACAGCUUUCCUGUCAAUGCCACGUGGCUCCCACUCCCUGCCGCCCGUUCCUGCGUUUCCUCCCAUUGUGCUGGGAAGCCCCGUGCCUCAGCGCCAGGUCCCUUCCUGAGGGUGCUGCAGGACCUGCAGGCCGCUCAGCGGCUGUGUCCUACUUAGAAACAGUUGCUAGGUGAGAGGUGGCUUCCAGCCCUGCUGCAGAGGCCUCAAUUCCCACAGCAUGGCUCAGAAAAGGUCCUUCUGUAUGUCACCCGUGUGCGACACCAGCAGCAUUGAUCGUGCAGGAAUAAUUUUUGGGCAAAGCUCUGCUCAUGCCUGAAAACGGAAGUGGACAAGAUGCAAGGAACAAUCCCAAACCCUAGAGUCACCAAUGUUAGCCCCCAAAGGAAAGCACUCAGUGAGCACUGAUUAAAUGCUUGGAGACCAAUCCUUCAAACGCUGGCAUAACCAAGGCAAGGGAGCAGGCCUCUUGCCACAUGAGGCUCUCCUCCAGACUUUUCAUGGGACUAAAUUCUGCCAAAGUGCAUGAGGUCGAGCCCUCCGUCCUUAUAGUGCGCACUGAGAUAUGGAUUCCUAUCUGCACUUUACAGAUAAAGAAACCAAACUCCAGAGCUGCCAAAUGUCUGUUUCUGCACACCAUACAGAGGAUAAAAACUCUUAAUUCAUCUGCAUAAAGAAUCGGAUG